rnacentral:rRNA from 1 species
CAGUCGAGGGGUAUAGGUUUUCGGACCUAGAGACCGGCGCACGGGUGCGUAACGCGUAUGCAAUCUACCUUUUACAGAGGGAUAGCCCAGAGAAAUUUGGAUUAAUACCUCAUGGUAUUAUUGAAUGGCAUCAUUUAAUAAUUAAAGUCACAACGGUAAAAGAUGAGCAUGCGUCCCAUUAGCUUGUUGGUAAGGUAACGGCUUACCAAGGCAACGAUGGGUAGGGGUCCUGAGAGGGAGAUCCCCCACACUGGUACUGAGACACGGACCAGACUCCUACGGGAGGCAGCAGUGAGGAAUAUUGGUCAAUGGGCGCAAGCCUGAACCAGCCAUGCCGCGUGCAGGAUGAAGCAUCUAUGGUGUGUAAACUGCUUUUGUACGAGAAGAAACACUCCUACGUGUAGGAGCUUGACGGUAUCGUAAGAAUAAGGACCGGCUAACUCCGUGCCAGCAGCCGCGGUAAUACGGAGGGUCCAAGCGUUAUCCGGAAUCAUUGGGUUUAAAGGGUCCGUAGGCGGUUUUGUAAGUCAGUGGUGAAAGCCCAUCGCUCAACGGUGGAACGGCCAUUGAUACUGCAAGACUUGAAUUAUUGGGAAGUAACUAGAAUAUGUAGUGUAGCGGUGAAAUGCUUAGAGAUUACAUGGAAUACCAAUUGCGAAGGCAGGUUACUACCAAUAUAUUGACGCUGAUGGACGAAAGCGUGGGGAGCGAACAGGAUUAGAUACCCUGGUAGUCCACGCCGUANACGAUGGAUACUAGCUGUUCGGAGCAAUCUGAGUGGCUAAGCGAAAGUGAUAAGUAUCCCACCUGGGGAGUACGUUCGCAAGAAUGAAACUCAAAGGAAUUGACGGGGGCCCGCACAAAGCGUGGAGCAUGUGGUUUAAUUCGAUG